UGUGGCCACUCUGUCUCUCCCUGCGGUGGCUCUGAGUCAUGGCACGCCUACCACCAAUCAUCUUCGAUGGAUCAAUGGGGUCCUGAUCGGCCAUAUCUACAAAAAAUAAAAAUAAAAAAUUAAUACCAUUCAACCACUUUAUCAACAAACAGUAAACCUAAACAAAAUCUACACUUUCACAUUCAACCUAAACAUAACCGCUUUCACAUUAAACCACUUUACCAAAAUAAAGACAUUGAUUGAACCUAAACAUUAUCAUACACAUUAUCAUUAACAUUCAAACGCAAAAAAUCAAAUGCAUUAUCAUACACAUUCAACCUAAACUAAACAUAAUUCAAUAUACACAUUCAACCUAAUUCAAUAUACACUUUUUCAAUAUGCAUUCAACUUAAUUCAACAUACACGUUUUCGAAUUACAAUCAAGAUCGUAUCCAAUACCUAAACUAACUAAAUAAUCAAUAAAAUUGUCAUUGACACUGUCAUACCACAAUUUUUGACCUAAGAUCACAUUUCAUUUGUCUUUUGGCCCGGAAUUGUUUGCCUUUUUAGGAAAAAAUUCGGCAGAGACGUAUUUUAAAUACCUCAUUUUUUGUUCAUUUUUUUUACCACUGUUUUUAGUCAUUUUAUUCUAGUCCUUUUCGUUAUUAUUAUUAUCAUUAUUUUAUUAUGUUGUUUGUUUUUAUUUUUAUUAAAAAGGCAUAAAAUGAAAAUUCAUCAAGAAUAGUCUACCAGAACGUUCUCCAGAACGUUUUGGUCGUACUGCGAGCGAAAUAAAGUGACCUCAUUAUGUCCCAUCAAAUAUGCCAUUAGAUUACAGUUGCACAACACCACACGUUUUGCUUCAAAAGUGCAUGGAACUAAAAGAACGUUCUUGAGAACAUUCUGGUGGAACUUCAAAGGGAUAAGAAUGACAUCAUCAUGUUCCCUCAUGUUGCCACCAGAUCACAACUGUUUUUUCAUCACGUGUGGUUGUCUCAAAAAGGAAAGGAACAACAAGAAUGUUCUUAAGAACAUUCUCCAUGUGGCAAAUUUUACAACUUGGACACUCUUGCUCUCAAAGCAACAAAGGACAGCACUUGUAGCUUUCAAAGAAGUGCCAAACAGCUGUAAAAACAAGUGGCCUCCAAACUUCUACAGCUUGCAUUCACGUGUCCACCUUUUCUCUUUGCAAAUUGGAAGUUCCAGAACGUUCUGCAUGAACAAAAUUCACUUUUUUCUCAUUCUUGCGCUCCAAGCAACAAAAACAUAAGCACAUGGGCUGUUUUUAACAAGGAAAACACAGCUGUUUUUGUCUGUGAAGCUCCAAGUCUUUCACCUCUAUAAAUACAAGCAUACCUCAAUGGUAAAAGGGGAGGCUUACACACAAAGAAUUGAAUCUCUCUCAAAGUGAAGGUGCUCACUACUUUCUAACAAAGCCUUUUUUUCUUUCUCAUCACCAUCAACAAACAAACAAACAAAAAUCAAACAAAAAACAACAAGCCAUCAUUACCAAAACAAACAAAAAAAAUCAAACAAAACAACCCUUGUUUUUUUUUUUUCCUUUUCUUUCUUUCUUCUACUCUCCCACAAAGGUAAAUCAUCUCCCUUUUCUCUUUCUUUCCUCCUUGUUCUUUUCCUUUUCAUUUCUUCCUCUCUCUCUCUCUCUCUCUCUCUCUCUCUCUCUAUAUAUAUACAUAUAUAUAUAUAUAUAUAUAUAUAUAUAUGUCUUUUAAUUUAUUUUACACUACAAUACACACUUCAAUCCAGAGUGCUCUGGUCCUAAAUUAACUGUUAAUAUUUUAUUUUUGUUUAAUUUAAUUAUUCUCCAGAACAAUCUGGUCCUUGUUAAUUAAAUUAAUCCAGAGUGCUCUGGUCCUAAAUUAACUGUUGAUAUUUUAUUUUUGUUUAAUUUAAUUAUUCUCCAGAACAAUCUGGUCCUUGUUAAUUAAAUUAAUCCAGAGUGCUCUGGUCCUAUAUUAACUAUUAAUAUUAUAUUUUUUUUUAAUUUAAUUUAAUUAUUCUCCAGAGUGCUCUGGUCAUUGUUAAUUAAAUUAAUCCAGAGUGCUCUGGUCCUAAGUUAAUUGUUAAUAUUAUAUUUUUGUUCUCCAGAGUGUUCUGGUCCUAUAUAUAUUAAAUACUAUUUAUCUUGUUGAACUAACGUAAACUAACAAUCUUUUCUUCACACCCACACACUUUUAUUUUUUAUUGCUCUAUUAGUUUAAUUUUCAGUUAUUAUGCAAAAACAACAAAAACAUUCAAAUAACAAAUCACAAAAAAUAUUUUUUUCAUUACAAACCUUGAUUCUCAAAUCAAGUGAUCGUUCUUUUUAUUUUUCUUAAUCAAAUUUCAAAUCAAUUCUAAUUCAACUUCAAGUCAAUUUUCUUCAAUCUAAAAAACACGAAUCAAUUCUCAUUUGCCAUUUGGCUUUUUAUUUCAAAACCUUUCUCAAAACAUAUAAAAAACACCAAACAAAUCAAACGUCAAUUUCUACCCCAAACUACGAGGUUUUGAUCCCUCACGGGUACGUAGGCAGAGGACCUUGUCCUUCCAAAUCAAUUAAAAAACAAUUUUCUUUUUUUUCUUUUCAACUUUCAACUAAAAAACAUUUUUCUUUUUUCUCUUCAAUUAAAAUCAAUUUUCUUUUCUUUUUCAGCUCAUCAUUCAAUUCCAUUUUCAUCUCUUUAAAAGCAAGCAAGUUUAAGCACAAAAAGUUAAAUAAAAUCAAGAGGUUCUCGUAGAGUACUACGAAUAUUUAGGGUGCUAAUACCUUCCCUAAAUAUAACCAACCCCCAAACCCUAAAUCUCUUCAAAAUGGGUGGUUUGGAACUUUUUCCCCUUAAAAAAAAUUUGUUCAGUCGUGAGAUAAAAAGUGAGUCAAAAGCUAAUCAAAUGGCCUUGACAUCCGAAAAAUGGCGCGACAGACACAUUUUAUCAAACACUUUGUGUGCAAAGUAUCAAACAUACUCAAAAUGUGUUAUUUUGCCACCAUUCAAAACCACAUUAUACCCUAACAUCAUUCAAUCAUCAAUUAAACCAACUACAUUCAAUUAUAAACUACAUGCACUCAUAAAAAAUUCAAUUCCUACAUCAACCCUAACCACAUGAAAACUACCAUUUUUUUAAAAAAAAAAAACCUACCCAAACUAACAUUAUGAUAAAAAAUGAGUCAAGAUACUUACUUGUGAUUAAAUGGAGAUGAUAAACUUGAUUUUGCUGAAAAAACGAUUUUGGAGAAGUUGGAUGGUUUGGAAGAUUUUUGAACAAUGAAGAAAACUGAGUUUCUGCGUU
rnacentral:lncRNA from 1 species